CUGUCCUUAGUUGCCAUCAUUUAGUUGGGCACUCUAAGGAGACUGCCGGUGACAAACCGGAGGAAGGUGGGGACGACGUCAAGUCAUCAUGGCCCUUACGCCUAGGGCUACACACGUGCUACAAUGGCGAUUACAAUGGGCAGCGAAAGGGCGACCUGGAGCGAAUCCCCAAAAAUCGUCUCAGUUCGGAUUGCACUCUGCAACUCGAGUGCAUGAAGGCGGAAUCGCUAGUAAUCGCGGAUCAGC
rnacentral:rRNA from 1 species